AGCUGUCAGCCUUGAUUGUCUGGAGAAAUCCUAAAAAUAAGAAGGGCUGGCACAUCUCUGCUGGGAGAUAGUGCUGGCACUGCUCGCAUGGCUGCGCUGCUGGGAAGUUAAGAACGUCGAUGGCCAAGACCAACGCCAUGGCAAACCUGGGAGCCAUUACCACUGACGGGUUUCCCCUUCCCCCGGAUCUCUGUACGUCCUUGCCUGGGCCCGGCUGUCUGCUUUCCAGUCCCUCAAACUUUAGAAGUGUAAAUUAAAAAAUCACAACAAGUG
ensembl:lncRNA